rnacentral:rRNA from 1 species
UUUUUUUGAUUUAAUUUUAAAGUCUAGUCUGCCCACUGAUUAUUUAAAUGGCCGCGGUAUAUUGACCGUGCUAAGGUAGCAUAAUCAUUAGUUUCUUAAUUAGAAGCUGGAAUGAAGGGCUGAAUGAAAAAAUAACUGUCUCUUUUUAAUAUAUAGAAUUUUAUUUUUAAGUUAAAAAUCUUAAAUAUUUUUAUAAGACGAGAAGACCCUUUAGAGUUUAAUAAUAAAUUUUUAUUUUUAUUUUAGAAUUUAAUAUAAAAAUAAUUUAUUUUUAUUUAGUUGGGGUGAUUUUAAAAUUUAAUUAACUUUUAAUUUUUAUUAUAUUUAUUUAUAAUUUUAUGAUCCAAUUUUUUUGAUUAUAAGAAUAAAUUACCUUAGGGAUAACAGCGUAAUUUUAUUGGAAAGUUCAAAUUGAUAAUAAAGAUUGCGACCUCGAUGUUGGAUUAAAA